CCGGUAGUUUUACUCUGAAGAGAAACACAAACAGUUUGUUUAUCGUCGUGGAUUAUACGAUUCGUUUUUAUAUUCAAGACUCAAUGUGCUGAAAUGUAAAAAUGCCGGGUGGAUCAACUUUUCGGCAGUGCACCCAUUGCUUGGAAAAAAUCAACUGCUAAUCGAAGAUGCACCAAGACAUUACAGAGCAGCGUUCAGUCCGCUGAUGAACCUUUAAUGUAUCAACACUCAACACUUCAGUCAAGUUUGGAUGAAUGAUGGGUCGCCUCCUGUCUUCAUGUUAACAGUCUUUGUGAAUGUGCUGCAGAUGAAGAUCAUCAUUGGAUGUUGAGGGGGGCUCCUGGACAUGAUCACACACAACGUCAUGUUGUACAAUCACAUCACACACUGACACCAGGUCUGGUCUCCAAAACGAGAGCUUGAAUCAGAGAUGAUACUGAGCGUGGAGGAGAUGACCCCUAAAAGAGAGCAGUCCAGACCGUUUCCUCUCUGCUCCUGUCUGAUUCCCCUCUCUCUGCUGUGUGUCAGCAGAAUUGGUUGCUGGGGGGUUUUCUGAGCACUUUUAAGCAUGUUUUUAACUCUAUUUUAAUAUAGUGGGGAUAUGAACUCUACCUAAAGUAUGCAUUUAACUUAUUUUUUUAUCUGUGGAAAGAAUCAUGGGGGUGCAAAAUGUCCAUCAGUUAUGAGCACCUGGGUUUGGAACGACCCUUCAAUAUGGCGCCAUGAUUGUUUUCACUCACCGGCAGUGUUUGUGCUGGGUCUGCUUCUGUGAAAAGCCUUUGAUAGGUAAUAUUAGUUUAUUUUGCCAUCGUGAGUAUUUUAUUUAUUGAAAUAGUGUGAUGCAUUCAUUGUCCGUAAGAAAGUUAUGGUCAUGAUUAUUAAGACAAAUGAUCUCUCUAUCAUCAUCGUGUCUCAGGCUGUAUGUAACGGAGUGACAAAAACAAUUACUUAUUCAUAGGGAAAUACUGUACAACAUGUGUGUUCAAUAUAUCCGACUUUGUCCUUUUUUGACCAUUAAACAGUUUGGGACCAAAUAUUCAUAUAUGCAACAAACAGAAACUGAUGUGUGUGUGAGUUACUUAACAAAAAGGAGCUUCUCCGUCUGCAGCACAUUCACAAAGACCAUUACAAUAACGACAGGAUGCACAGACCAGCGUUCAUCCAUAAUUAAUUUGAUUUAAUUCAAUUGGACAUUGACUCAUGAGCAGCAUUCUCUUUAAAACUGAUGCCAAACGGUCUAUAUUUGAGAAAAAAUGUAUGUGUCAAUAUCUACAUAUUCUACAUGUAAGCUAUGGACACACUUAAGAAAUGUUAUAAUUAAUUGAUAAUAAGUACAUAAUAUCUCUAAAAAUACAGCAGAAAUGCAUAGAGAUGUAAACAAAAAAGAUAUAAUAUGUAUUAUUAAAGAUGUAUUUAUAGAUUUACUGUAAAGCGACGCAGAUCGCAAAACACAAAUAAGUGAAACAUGAUAAAAUCAGUCGAUGAAAAUAAAGCUACAGCGUCAUUGAGAAGUUUUGUGAGUGUUUCUAUUUUUAACCAUCAGAAAAGGCCUCGGGCCGUGACACCGUCCACUGCUCCUCGCACGCCCGCCUCUGAAUCCAGUACCUGUUUCAGAGGAGAGGAAGAAAACCUUCCUCUUCAGCAUUCGAGAUAUGCUUGUAAGAAACUACACAAUAUUUGCGAGCUUGUAACAACAUCCUACAUGAAGCCACAAUUAGCCUUCAUAGCAGAAUGAUGAAACAUGCAAGCAAGGCAGUUUCUUACCUGCAAAGGCACCUUGAAAAGGUUAAAGCAGAAGCCGCAACCAGAUCAUGUAGUUCAUAGAAACACUUUUCAGGUCGACGGUAUCUUUUUUUAUCCAGCAAAAAGGACCCAAAAACGUUACAAAUGUUCAUUAUACGCAAUACAACACAAAACGGAUAAUGAAAUAUAAUUAUAUGAAUAA